AAAUCAUGAUUAGGGCAAAGAUUCAAGAGUUUAGAAUAUCUCCCCAAGCUGCAUAUAGGUUAUCUCUGAUUUACUUGACAAAAGAAGUGAGCUCACUUCGGAGUUU
rfam:Triticum aestivum genome assembly, contig: Triticum_aestivum_CS42_TGACv1_scaffold_000112_1AL